rnacentral:tRNA from 5 species
UACCCGGUGGUGUAACGGUAGCACAGCAGAUUUUGGUUCUGCUUGUCCAGGUUCGAAUCCUGGCCGGGUAG